GGAUUUCAGUGAAAUGAAGCCCC
rnacentral:miRNA from 12 species